ACCUCCAGCCGCGAUGACCAGGUCCAGGUCCCCGCAAGCACGGGUCCUGCCUUUCACGUGGCCGGAAGCCAUGCCCUGCGUCUGGUGCCGGAGUUGGAGGAGGUGGAGAAAAUGAAGCCCCCGCUGGGCUGCGCUCAGUCUGGAGCAGAUGACCACCCCCUCAGAAGAGGCUGGAAAGAGGUUCUCUGUAAAACUUCCAGAGUGUCUGGAUGAAGGUGGAGUGUUAGGAGGAAGCAGAACCAACGUGUGAUUUGGCAAGACUUAGGAGGGAGCCAAAGACAGAGGGUGAAGGAGGACCCACAAUAGAACCACUGUUGCCCGUGUCUACCCACCCAUCCACUGGCCGUUCACCCAACGCCCAAUCACCGCCAGGCGCCGUGCCACUCUGGGCACGUCUGCCUAUCAAGAGGUGGUAAAACCAACAGGAUUUUCUAAGGAUUGGGUAGAAUGAAAGAGGAGCCGAAGUUGACCC